CCAAUAGCGUAUAUUAAAGUUGUUGCAGUUAAAAAGCUCGUAGUUGAAUUUCGGGAUUGACACAUCGGUCGUGCCUUAAGGGGUAUGAACUGGUGUAGUCAAUUUCUCACCUUCUGGAGAACCGCGAUGUCCUUAAUUGGGUGCCGCGGGGAACCAGGACCUUUACUUUGAAAAAAUUAGAGUGUUUAAAGCAGGCAUUUUUGCUUGAAUACAUUAGCAUGGAAUAAUAAAAUAGGACGGCAUGGUUCUAUUUUGUUGGUUUCUAGGACCACCGUAAUGAUUAAUAGGGAUAGUUGGGGGCAUUAGUAUUCAAUUGUCAGAGGUGAAAUUCUUGGAUUUAUUGAAGACUAACUACUGCGAAAGCAUUUGCCAAGGAUGUUUUCAUUAAUCAAGAACGAAAGUUAGGGGAUCGAAGACGAUCAGAUACCGUCGUAGUCUUAACCAUAAACUAUGCCGACUAGGAAUCAGACGAUGUUAAUUUUUUAAUGACUCGUUUGGCACCUUAC
rnacentral:rRNA from 1 species